rnacentral:rRNA from 1 species
GAGACAGCAGUCGCCGCGGUAAUACGUAGGUGGCGAGCGUUGUCCGGAAUUAUUGGGCGUAAAGGGAGCGCAGGCGGACAUAUAAGUCCAUCGUAAAAGUGCGGGGCUCAACCCCGUGAGGGGAUGGAAACUGUAUGCCUUGAGUGCAGGAGAGGAAAGCGGAAUUCCCAGUGUAGCGGUGAAAUGCGUAGAUAUUGGGAGGAACACCAGUGGCGAAGGCGACUUUCUGGACGAAAACUGACGCUGAGGCGCGAAAGCGUGGGGAGCAAACAGGAUUAGAUACCCGCGUAGUCCCUGUCUCUUAUACA